CAGCCAAGGCUUCUCCCCUGGAACAAAUCCCCGCCUGAAGCUGCACACCUGAACCUGGGUCUGGUUUGGCUGAACCCAGAAGCUGGUCUGCCUGAGUCCAAAGAAGGCAAGGAAAUAAUUCCCAUGUGUCCCAUGGGAAGGCUCAGCAUCUUACCUGUCCAGUGUUGUGAUGAUAAAUAAGGAAGAAGAAAAAACCCUCACUCCUUCGGUAAAUGACAGUGUAGGUGACUUCACCUGUUGGAUGUCUAGGUGGAGCAGGAAGAAUUAGUGCACUUUUUGGGGAAGGCCUGCACUGCUAUCACCCACAGAACCUCCGAGCUGCUGGACAGCGGCACCGGCAGCAGCGCCCUCAGGCACUCGACAGGAGCUGGAAUCACUCACUGAUGGUGUAAAAAGCCUUUUUCAACCCAAACGAUUCUAUGAUUCCGUGAUCCUGACUCCCAUCUGAGGCUGUUUGUCAGGGAGGCCCCAAAGUGCAGAAUACCUGAAGAAUACGCCUGUUUCUCAAAGGAGCAGCAUGAAAAAUGAUUCUUCACAGAGACCUGGGCUGCAGGUAUGGAUGUGUGACCUCCUCAAUGUGCCAACCCGAUGGGACAACCCAAAACCCACCAGACAAACACCAAAUGUUACCUUUGGAAAAGAGUUACCUGAUGAAUUGUAUUGUUGAUUUCCAAGCUGAAAAGGUAAAUAAAACACAAUUUAAAAACCCCAACAGAGGCAUUGCUGGCAUAUGGAGAAACCGGAGUCCAUUCAGAAGACAACCCCGGAACAAAGGAAGAGUAAGAGCUGUAGCACUUGUAUUAUGGAGUACACAAAGACCUUUU